ensembl:lncRNA
CAUGAGGUUAGAGUAGCUUCGUGUUAGAGAAAAGGGAUCAGACUCACUAACUGGAACUCUGUCCUCUGGUCUCCUGGUUUGGAUCUUAAAUGACUGAAGACACACAAGGGAGAAGAUGAUCUGCAGCAUCCUGCUGCUCAUCAUCCUGACCUCCUGUGUCUCUGGAACAUUUGUAGUGAAUGUGACCCAGACCUCCUAUCAGGCAGAGGAGAACCACGACAUCACACUGGAGUGGACCUUCACAACCAACCCUCACAGUUCCUCCAACUCUCUUAAUAUCUUCUGUGAACUGAUAACUGAUCUCAAAAAUCCAGUCCUGUUUUAUCUCCGUGGAGGAGUUGAGGUCCCAGAGUCUCAGGAUAAACAGUCUGCAGGACGAGUCCAGUGGGACAAAGACGUCCUCAGAGAAGGACGACUCAGACUUCAUGUGUCCAGACUCAGGACUGAAGACUCGGGAAUGUACAAGUGUGAUGUGGACACAGAUUAUGGGAGUAACUCUGGUAGAUGUUGGCUCAAUGUCACUGCAGCGAGGGAUCGGCCUGAACCUGAGACACCAAACACAACAAGUCCACCAAACACAACAAGUCCACAACAACAGGAGAGUCAGUGGAAGAGUUACCUCUUAUAUUUACUGUUGGAACUGUUUAGAAUAUCAUUCGGUCCACUGUUGGUUUUUCUCCUGUAUGUUUUGUUUUAUUCUUACUUGUCAUUAAAAAAAAAGAGAAAUCAACAUCCCUACUUAAAGAAAAGAUACAGGUCAGCAGGGACAUCAGUGGCUACAGUUUAAUCAACAACUUGAAUGAGAUAAAACUGUUAGAAUCCAAUUUUAUACCACAGGAAAUCCUAGUUCCCCAUUUGCUUGCAUGUUACAAUUUGAUUAAUCUGAAACACAUCUUUCCUUUAUAUUCUUUAGUCAGUGACCGUGAUUCAUAUUACACAACUGAUAGACAAUAAUAAUAAUGGAGGAAAAGAUCAUCAUCAUCAUCUUCUUCCGCUUAUCCGGUAACGGGUCGCGGGGGCUUUAACUUUAACACACAGAGCUUUAACCUUUUCUUCUGUAAUGGUCACUUUAAUGUACUGGUUCUGUUGUAUUAUGGUCUGUUACUACCUGUCUCUCUGUCAUUGUAAAGCUGUGAGGAGUUAACUCUGGUGAUGAUGAUGAAGAGAAAGAUCUAAAUGAUGAAGAACUAAAUGUUUGUUUCAUCUGAUGUAUGAUCUGAUUCAUUCAUUUUUUACACACUGAAAUGUUUCUCAUGUAUUUCAAUUCAUCACUAACAAAUGAAGAC